rnacentral:lncRNA from 8 species
AUGUUCGCUCUAUGUGCCACGACUCUCCUGUACUUCCUGUCUUUUAGCCAAUCAGCUCCUGCUGCAGCUCUAGCCUGUGAGGACCUCCUUAAGCCUAUGGAUCCACCACGACUAGACCAGCAGCUCUUGAGGAAAUGGGCCCUCGUCGCAGGCAGCCUGAGCCACCCUGCAUCCCUGGAGGCUCUCAAGACCAGAGACGGCAUCACCAUGGAGUUUUCACCCUCUACCCCCAACACCACCCAGAACUCCAACACCACCACAACCGUCCACUACACCCAGACUAACCGUUUCGGCAUCCGAUGCGAGUAUCUAACCUACAAUAUCUCACUCCUCAACGACAACAGCACCUUCCGGUUCGACGUGGGGGGCCGAUUCAACCUCACUGGGGUCUUCCUGGAGACCUCCUGCCCAGACUGUCUGGUGAUGAAGUGGGAGGUGAUGUCCAGGAGGAGGGAGUCCACGGACCUGUACCUGCUGAGGAAGGUGGAGGGCGGGAGAGAGGUGGAGGAAGAGGAGAUGGAGGAGUUCAGGAAACAGGUGGAGUGUUUGGGGCUGCCUCCGCCAGUGGUGAUGGAGCCGGGGAAUGUCCUCUGUGGUUUCUAUCAGCUCCUCUGGAAAGACUGAGGAGAAGGAGAAGAAGAAGCUCGAUCAGUGUGAUCAGAGAGUGGGGGCCGUGAGACAGAUGUAGAGACCCGUUUUCUGUCAUCUGUUUUGGAAUCCAACAAUUCUGUGUUUUACCGUUUGUCGAAGACCUGUAGAAUUUUGAAUAAAAGAUGCACGGUUUGUCAUGUUAUUCUGUCUUCUUGGCUUCUUUAACAGAUUUAAUUACGUUCACAGAGAGAUUUAAUGUCCAAGAGCUUAAGCUAAUUCACAGAGACGGUGGGAUCCAGCAGGAAUGUCGGGACGUCAUUAGGACCGCUCCAAACUCUGCACAAUGGGAAGGAAAAGUCUUUUAUAAUUGGAUUACUUUUGUAUAAUUUGGCAUAACCUCAUUUGUCCAUGCAUUAAAGUGCUCAUACUGUUAAUUCUCAGAUUAAACUGGAUGGAACAGUGAACAAUUUGUCAUUUGUGAGUGAGAGAGAGUGUUUCUGCAGAUGUGGGCGUGCACAAGCAAGGGGGGGGGGGGGGGGGGGGGGGGGGGGGUGUUUUAGUGAAUUAUUUUCCAAGGGAAAUGCUUAUCGAAGGUCCUUAUCUUAUUUUGUCCAAAGCAAGGCCUGAUGAUUGAAUCAUGACCAGUACAGUAGGGAUGUAUUAGAAAGGCCUGAUGAGUGAAUCAUGACCAGUACAGUAGGGAUGUAUUAGAAAGGCCUGAUGAGUGAAUCAUGACCAGUACAGUAGGGAUGUAUUAGAAAGGCCUGAUGAGUGAAUCAUGACCAGUACAGUAGGGAUGNNNNNNNNNNNNNNNNNNNNAGAAAAAGAAGGUCCCCUGUAGAUCAGAAACGUUCCAGUCCGGUGGCGUCGUCACCGCCACAGACGAUACCAUACCAACAGGUAGGUGCCAUAAACUUACUAGGUAUUGAGGGGCUCCUUUAAAGUGAUGUCACAGUGUGUUCCACUGUAUGUAACCAUUGUACUGGUACAGUGUAGUCCUCCUUGUUGUGGAGAAGGUUAGCUUUAUCAGAUUAUAAAUUCCUGUUACAAAUCUCAUUUGUACUAUGCUGUUGGUUUAAUGUCUUUAUUCAAUGUUUAUUACAUGGAAAACAUAUUUUACAUACCACUAGUUGUCCAUAUAAAAUAAUUGCCACCCAUAAAAUAAAAUAUUAAGUUUAUAUGCAAUACCCCCUGUGGGCAAUGUAUAUUUAAUGAUGAUCACAUUUCCUGAAGCUCCUUUGAUAAAGUUUAGCCUCGUUGCUAAUGAGGAGAAAUAUUAGCCUAUUAUAUGAUAUCCCACUAAUCUGCAUCUUUCCCAACUCCCUGUUACCCCACGGCACAUGGGAACAUCCUGGGACAGUCCCAUUGGAGGUUAGCUUUGUGCUCCCUGUAAAAUACACUAUAUAUACACAAAAGUAUGUGGACACCCCUUUGAAUUAGUGAAUUCGGCUAUUUCAGUCACACCCGUUGCUGAUAGUUGUGUAAAAUUGAGCACAUAGCCAUGCAAUCUCCAUAGACAAACAAUGACAGUAGAAUGGCCUUACUGAAGAGCUCAGUGACAUUAAAGAUGGCACCGUCAUAGGAUUCCACCUUUCCAACAAGUCAGUUUGUCAUAUUUCUGCCCUGCUAGAGCUGCCCCACACGAAGAGUAAACAACUGGGAACAACCAACUGGGAACAUUUUGUCAGUCCACAAGGAAAAAGGCUAUUUCGAGCCUUUUAGGGUUAAGGUAAGAAUUAGUGUUAGGGUUAAGGUUAGGUUUUGGGGUUAAAGUUAGGGUUAACAUUUGAGUCAGGGUUUAGGGAAAAUAGGAUUUUGAAUGGGAAUGAAUUGUGUGUCCCCACAAGGUUAGUUUAAACAAGACUGUCUGUCUGUGUGUGUGUUCCUAAAUAGGGAUUUAAAGAGCUUUCUUUCUCACAAUAGUUAAAUGUUUACUCCUCCCUACUGUGGCGAAACAUCAUUUUCAUGUGUGUGUGUGUCCCUCCUCUUUCAUAGCCCAAGGACCUGUUCUUUUCUCAAGUGGAGGAAAACCCAGUUACAUAUCCAUUUGAAAUGUAUUCACUGUUGGAAUCGAAGUCAGGCUGCGUCCCAAUGUACACUACCUUUGUGGUUGACUUGCACAUUUCCAAUAUUCAUGUAUGUUGUAGCAAGUAUGAUCUACUUUGAAAAUAGAAAUGUAAUGGUUAGAGGGGACAGUCUUGUCUGUCACAAUAUCAUUUAUCUGUAAAAAGGUGCAUGUCCAAUCUUGAUAUUCUAGCUCUAUCCACAACAUUUUCCCACCAAUGAAUAGCCUGCAGGGCAGGCCCCUAUGGCCAGUUAUAAACCAAUCACCCCAUGUCCUAUCCCAUGUUCCUCCAUUCAUAGUGAAGGUGUCCAGGCUUGUCCGCUCUAACAGGGCAUUGUUAUGUGAAUGUAAUCAUGUCCAGGUCAGGACAUGGCAUUGUUUUCUGAAUGCAAUGUGCAGUAUGCCAGGCCAGGACCACUGCACACUGUCGUACUGUCCCAGAUCUACUGUUCAUCCCAUCCGUUUAUCCCCAGUCCUCUCUGUUCU